GGGUCGUUAGCUCAGUUGGUAGAGCAGUUGACUUUUAAUCAAUUGGUCGCAGGUUCGAAUCCUGCACGACCUU
rnacentral:tRNA from 1 species